GGCGGAAGAAGAAAAAGAAAAAGAAAAAGAAAAGGAAAAAGUAUAGUAAAAAUAAUAACUGAGCAAAAACAAUAAGUCUCCAAACGUUGUUUGGGAGACUUAACAAGUCUUCAAUCAUGACUAUGAAAAAUGUAGAAAUAAUUGGUGUUCUGACUUCAAAGAUAUACUCAUGAAACUUGGUAUAGUGGACUAUUUUGAGCGC
rnacentral:lncRNA from 1 species